AUCUAGACUAAACGUAUUUCUGAUCCACAAGAAAAGUGUAAAGUUUAUAAAAGUUGUUUAUCUUAUUGCCAGAAAUAUAAUAUUAAAAUGCAAUACAUUUUCCCUUUAAUGAGUCAAUUCUACCUGUAUAAGACAACAUUACAGUAAUAAAGGGAUUGUGUUGUGUAAUACACUAUAUGGUCAAAGGUUGUGGACAGUGACAUCUGACCAUCACACCCAUUUGUGCUUCCCUUCUUUGCUAUUAAAUAACCUCCACUCUUCUGGGAAGGCUUUCCACUAGAUUGUGGAGUGUGGCUGUGGGUAUUUGUGCUCAUUCAACAACAAGAGCAUUAGUGAGGUCAGGCACUGAUGUCAGGUGUGGAGGACUGGUGUGCAGUCAGCAAUCCAGUUCAUCCCGAAUUUGUUCAGUGGGGUUGAGGCCAGGGCUCUGUGCAGUAGUUCUUCCCCUCCAACCUUGACAAACCAUGUCUUCAUGGAUCUCGUUGUGUACAGGGGCAUUGCCAUGUUGGAACAGUUUGGGCCUCUUAGUUCCAGAAAGGGGAGAUUGUAAUAUUACAGCAUACAAAGACAUCCUGUACCAGGCGCAGACUGGCUAUUGGAAAGUUCGGGAAGUUUCCCGGUGGGCUGGUCUUGUGAGGGCCGGUCUUUUUUCCAAACCCCGGCAUUAUAUAGCCUAUAUACAGAUAUUCAAUAGGUCAUCUUAGCUGCAGCGACGCAGCUGGUGCAAUCCGUAAUAGCAGGUAGCCGUUGCCAUCACAAAAGAAAGUAUCUAGCACUCGGGCAGUUAGUAUCCAGCACUCGUUGAAAGUAUCUAGCACUCGAGCAGUUAGUAUCUAGCACUCGUUAAAAGUAUCUAGCAAUCGGGCAGUUAGUAUCCAGCACUCGUUAAAAGUAUCUAGCAAUCGGGCAGUUAGUAUCCAGCACUCGUUGGAAGUAUCUAGCACUUGGGCAGUUAGUAUCCAGCACUCGUUGGAAGUAUCUAGCACUCGGGCAGUUAGUAUCCAGCACUCGUUGAAAGUAUCUAGCACUCGAGCAGUUAGUAUCCAGCACUCGUUGGAAGUAUCUAGCACUCGGGCAGUUAGUAUUCAGCACUCGUUGGAAGUAUCUAGCACUCGGGCAGUUAGUAUCUCGCACUCGUUAAAAGUAUCUAGCACUCUGGCAGUUAGUAUCUCGCACUCGUUAAAAGUAUCUAGCACUCGGGCAGUUAGUAUCUAGCACUCGUUGAAAGUAUCUAGCACUCAUUGAAAGUAUCUAGCACUCGUUGCUGAAACAUGGAUAGAAACAGAAAACCCAUGGCCUGAGGUGCAGAGAAGGUGCGCAAAAAAAAAGAAAAAGGUUUUGCUGGCUGACGCCAUAAAUUGUGCUAAAAUAAUGGAUUUAUUUAAGCAGUCUGCAGGUGGUGAUGAGGACAGUGGCGAAGAGGCAAAAACAUCAAAGUGGAGUGAGCAGGGAGCAGGUGCUUUGUCAUGCUUAAAUGUUGUGUCAGUUCAAAGUUGGUAUAUCAAAUUGGGGCCAAAUUCCCAGGCUGCUCUUUGUUGCCAGGCUGCCCCUGUCCUAUACUAUUGUGCUUCCAACUUUGUUGCAAAUGUGGAAGGUGCACAUACGGGUGUGAUUUGGCCAUAUAGUGUAUUUAUGCAUAUAGUGUAUGAAUUAAAUUAAAAAACUAAUUUCAAGAUGUUACGAAUGCCCAUACAGUAACUAGGGUGUUACUUUGGUAGACGUAACCUACCAUGGAAGUCACACCCUGUUGACUGACACACAUUGUGAGAUAUUUUUGUUUAUAGAUAUAUACAACAUCAGCCAUUAAAUUCAGCUAAUUUAUUUCACAGAUGUUCCACAGAAUUAAACAUAACUAUAAAGGGAUUAAAAUGUAUGACACGUCAAAUUGCUCUGGUAUAUGAGGACUAAAACAAUUCAGGACAUGUUGUUAUUGUAGAAUAAUCCACAUAAGGGUGGUAACAGUAACCCUAACAGAAACAUCAGGCCACAUCACUCCACGACGUUGUUGAUUAUUGUCCUUUAACAGCACACCCUGCCGUGUAUUAUUUCAUACGUAAUCUUCAGUGACAACAGUGAAAACUGAAUUUGAAAGAGUGAGUCAAUGAAAAAGAGAGGAGGAAGAAUACACAUGGACUUAAAUGAAAACUGAAGCGAAACCAUGCCGACUGGAGAGAACGUGAAAGUAUGAGUUUUUUUUUUUGUUUUUUUUUAAAA
ensembl:lncRNA